UGAUAUCAUUCCAUAUUCAAAGUCAUAUUCGGGAUGCAGAGAGAUCGCAGGAUCGAAUUGCAUGGUAACUUUCUACUGAAAGAUAUUUUUGAUAUUUCUAUCAAAAUUUCAUAUCUUUCAAGUAGACAUGAUACGUUGCUAGACGUCAAUCUUGUCUUGUGAAUUUGAUCGAAUUAAAGAGUUUAAUCGAUCGCUAAUUAGAAAGGGUUCAAAUUGCUGAAAUCGAGUAAAGCUUGACUGGACCUAGAUCGGCUAGAUUAAAUUCUAAUCAAAUCAGAUCGACUUGCAUUUGAACCCACUGCUAGCUAAAUAUGGAACCCAAUGAGUUACACAUAAAGAAAAUUGAUCAAGGAUUUAAUUAGAUUAGGUCAUGUUUGCACAAUUGACAUGCUAGCACAUGUUACAAAUCCUAACUCCUUAUUUCAAAUCGAAUUCGACAUUGAUUCCAAUUUAGGCUAAUUAAAUUCAAAUUAAUUCAAAUCAAUUUUGGAUUUGACUUGGGUC
rnacentral:lncRNA from 1 species